GCACCAUAGGACACAUUUACGCACGGAUACAUAGAGGGGUGCCGAAAUAGAAACACGCGCACGGGCGUGCUAACUUUACCCCCAACUCACUUACACCUCACUCACACAGACAUGAUGAAACGCGCACACGCACGCACGUUGUCGCCAGUGGAGACACGCGGGCCACCGUGGACUGCGGUAUAAAACAGAAGAGCCAGAUUCUCACAAAACUCUAUGUAAAAGGAUUGGCGCGUGAGAGAGGAGAGGAGACGAACCAGACAUGAAUAGAGCUACUAAAACCCACAUGACCUCCCCAUGUUUUUCCCUGGCAUGGGUAUGGCCCCUUUUUUCAAGGUGACUGUGUUUGAGCAGGAGCACUUCCAGGGCAAGUGCCAGGAGUUCACCUCUGAGUGCUGUAACAUCCAGAACUGUGGUCUGGACAACAUCCGUUCUAUCAGAGUGGAGAGUGGAGCCUGGGUGGGCU